AGCAGCCGCGGUAAUUCCAGCUCCAAUAGCGUAUAUUAAAGUUGUUGCAGUUAAAAAGCUCGUAGUUGAAUUUCGGGAUCAAUAUGUUGGUCGUGCCUCGGUACGUACUAGCAUAUUGGUUUCUCCUUUCUGAAGAACCAUGAUGUCAUUCAUUUGGUGUCGUGGGGAAUCAGGACUGUUACUUUGAAAAAAUUAGAGUGUUUAAAGCAGGCUCACGCUUGAAUACAUUAGCAUGGAAUAAUGAAAUAGGACGUUUGAUUCUAUUUUGUUGGCUUCUAGGAUCGACGUAAUGAUUAAUAGGGAUAGUUGGGGGCAUUAGUAUUCAAUUGUCAGAGGUGAAAUUCUUGGAUUUAUUGAAGACUAACUACUGCGAAAGCAUUUGCCAAGGAUGUUUUCAUUAAUCAAGAACGAAAGUUAGGGGAUCGAAGACGAUCAGAUACCGUCGUAGUCUUAACCAUAAACUAUGCCGACUAGGGAUCGGAUGAUGUUAAUUUUUUAAUGACUCA
rnacentral:rRNA from 1 species